rnacentral:rRNA from 1 species
CCUACGGGAGGCUGCAGUGAGGAAUAUUGGUCAAUGGGCGCGAGCCUGAACCAGCCAAGUCGCGUGAGGGAGGACGGCCCUACGGGUUGUAAACCUCUUUUGCCGGGGAGCAACGGGCGCCACGUGUGGCGUCACUGAGAGUACCCGGAGAAAAAGCAUCGGCUAACUCCGUGCCAGCAGCCGCGGUAAUACGGAGGAUGCGAGCGUUAUCCGGAUUUAUUGGGUUUAAAGGGUGCGUAGGCGGAUCGUUAAGUCAGUGGUCAAAUUGAGGGGCUCAACCCCUUCCCGCCAUUGAAACUGGCGUUCUUGAGUGGAAGAGAAGUAUGCGGAAUGCGUGGUGUAGCGGUGAAAUGCAUAGAUAUCACGCAGAACCCCGAUUGCGAAGGCAGCGUACCGGCUCCACACUGACGCUGAGGCACGAAAGCGUGGGUAUCGAACAGGAUUAGAUACCCUAGUAGUC